rnacentral:rRNA from 1 species
AUCUUCGGCAAUGGGCGAAAGCCUGACCGAGCGACGCCGCGUGAGCGAUGAAGGCCAUUAGGUUGUAAAGCUCUGUCGAGGGGGAACAAGCCGCAAGGUUGAGUGAUCCCUGAGGAAGCACGGGCUAAGUUCGUGCCAGCAGCCGCGGUAAGACGAACCGUGCGAACGUUGUUCGGAAUCAUUGGGCUUAAAGGGCGCGUAGGCGGGUGUUCAAGUCCGGGGUGAAAGCCUCCAGCUCAACUGGAGAAGAGCCCCGGAUACUGUUCACCUGGAGAGAGAUAGGGGCACAUGGAACUUCCGGUGGAGCGGUGAAAUGCGUAGAGAUCGGAAGGAACGCCGGUGGCGAAAGCGAUGUGCUGGAUCUUUUCUGACGCUGAGGCGCGAAAGCUAGGGGAGCAAACGGGAUUAGAUACCCCGGUAGUCUUGGCUGUAAACGAUGAGCACUUGAUUGAAGGGUCCUCCAUAGCCUUUCAGUCGUAGCGAAAGUGUUAAGUACCCCGCCUGGGGAGUAUGGUCGCAAGGCUGAAACUCAAAGGAA